rnacentral:rRNA from 1 species
AACGAACGCUGGCGGCAUGCCUAACACAUGCAAGUCGAACGAGACCUUCGGGUCUAGUGGCGCACGGGUGCGUAACGCGUGGGAAUCUGCCCUUUGUUUCGGAAUAACAGUUAGAAAUGACUGCUAAUACCGGAUGAUGUCUUCGGACCAAAGAUUUAUCGGCAAAGGAUGAGCCCGCGUAGGAUUAGGUAGUUGGUGGGGUAAAGGCCUACCAAGCCGACGAUCCUUAGCUGGUCUGAGAGGAUGAUCAGCCACACUGGGACUGAGACACGGCCCAGACUCCUACGGGAGGCAGCAGUGGGGAAUAUUGGACCAAUGGGCGCAAGCCUUGAUCCAGCAA